GAAGUUUACUGAGGAAAGUAUACAUUAAAGUUAGUGCAAAACUUCGCUUUUAUGAAACGUUUUCGAAAUAGAAUCGUUAUACCAUGCAGAGCGAAAGGUCAGUAUUAAAUUUUGCUAGUUUUUAAACGUUUUUGAGUUGUUCUUGUUAAGUUAUUGCUGUUUUUAAAACACGUGUCUAUAUUCAUUGUAGUACACGCAUUGAAUUUGAUUCCCAUUCAAGCCGCUUCGUUUCAGCGCUCAGUCGCUUUAUUAUCUCAGUGUUUCUCCUUAAUAUGCUAGCAGUAAUGUUUAAAAAUGCCCCAGCUUUGGUUCAUUUAACUCAUAUUUAGUUUAUCUGCAAUUUCAGGGCGAAAAUUUGAAGAGAAAAUGAACUAAUUUAAGUCGCCGACAUGGUCGAAAUGCCGAAGCACAUGGUAAGCAUAUAACGUCCAUUAAAGACGUUUCCUUGUUUUGUUUCUCGUUUUUAAGCUUCCCCUAUACACUUAGAAUGUCUUCUAGCAUUGCUUUGUAGCCUUAUGAACACUCUGAGUCAAGUUUAGUUACAAUAUUGGUGAAACUUUUGUCCAUACCGAACGAAUUGCGAACUUAUUUUAGGCAUGUUCAAUUUCAAAGGCAGGCGUGGCAUAUCAUUUUCGAACAUUUUAGCUUUUACAAACUGGUCGUUUAUGUACAAAUUGUUCUCUGAGAGGGAAGGCUAAGCUUUUUGAGUUUCUUGAGGUUGUCUAAGUUGAAUUUCAUCCCAUAUUUUUACGAAAUUUAGAGAUGAAAUGUCCUCGUGGUUCAUGCCGUAAAUUUAUGCAUACAUGCACGCAUUCUUUAAAAUUAAAAUAUUGAAUUGAAUAACCGUACGCUGUGGUCAAUAAACGACAUUGAAUAACUCUUAGUUGUUUUGAAACUAAAAAUUAAUUGUCAAAUUACUUUUUAGACUGCUUCAAAGUCGAUCAUUUCAAAGGCAAACAGUACAGAAAGACCUAUGCACAGAUUUGAACAGGCGCUCGCCUAACAAUCGAAGCAAAACGAGAAAGACGAAAAGACGAAGGACAAAUGAGACCAACCACCAGCUCGAUUCCUUCGCGAACCCACAGUAUUUAUUGUCAGAUUUCGCUUGUGCAAAGUUUAGAAGAGAUUGCCACUCAUCCAGAAACUGUAAGUGUAACGAAGGCAUAUAACAACAUACUCGCUACCAACAUACUCGAUACCAAAAAGCUCCAGGUUGAGAGGAAUUCAUACAACUACCUGAAAAAUACGAGAAAAACUUAACAUGAUAGCUUGGCAGUGACGAACCGCUCGAAAGCAGAUACACCCAGUAUCACUGAUCAUCAUUAGAUUUCGUUCAAUCAGCCAAUUGUGAAUGAGAAGACAAUCAGCCUAUAUUGUGAAGACAUGGCAAGCGUCGUUAAAGAUGUUGUAUACAUUUCGUGAUUCUCGUUGUGCGUGUUCGAAAGUAUACGUGGGACGCCACCCUGAAGACGCCCAAAUGCACAAAACAAAUUCGAAUAUGGCACAUUUUCCUUAAUUUCGCAAUUUAUUCAAAUUUUCUACAUUUCUUGGUAUUUGUGAAAAGCUCUUAACGAAAUCGAAAUGUUUGAAAUUCGGAAGUUUCUAUCUGGGAGUUUGUUUAUGUGAAGGAUAUUUGAAAUGAAAUUUUGAAGUUUACAUCACUUUGAUAUUUGGUUUAAACGCUAGGUAAAAUCAUGCCAGAGGAGUGGUCGACCAUUCGUCGAAGUUUGGUGAUACUUCCGCUCGGACUUUCCCGACCUACAGUCGAGUUGCUCUGAUCGAUUUUCGUGAUCAACUAGCACAGGUGCAAGGUCUGGCCAACCUUACAUCAGUGCUUUUUGUUCUUGGCAUGAGAUUGGGACAGCUCGCCUGUAGGCCUGGAAAGAUCAAGCCGAAGUACGACCAAACUUUGAUUUGUGGCCGACUUUUUGUCUGUAUGGCUUUACCCAGCGUUUUCCCGUUAUCACUUUGAUGCAGACUUUGGGAUUUUGGCUUGAAUAUUUUUAAUAUAAACAUUCUUUGAGGUUUAAUCUUUCAAGAAUUUCAUUGUUUUUGACUAGUUAAUGUGUUUCUCGUAGAUACUAUAAUUGUAUUAAAAAUAUUGACCAAAAAAAUUAAAACUGACCAAAACAUCAUUUGAGGUGUCGGAUGGGAGGGUCCAGUGGGCGUCGUAGCGGAUACCAAUGGAUAAAUACGGAUUACUGUGACACUGUGUACUAUUGAAGAUAUUGUGAACAUUUAUGGAUAAUUGUGAACAUUAAUGGAUUACAAUGAACACUUAUGGAUUAUUAUGAACAUUGUGGAUAAAAUGCACCUCGCGAUCGACGGUUACCUACCAAUGUACCUUGACAACGAAAGCUACACGACGGCAACGAGAUGACUGCCUCAAGGUUAGAAGGUUUAGUCUGAUAACAAGCAGUUGUUAGCUUGUUAUCAGGCAGUAGUUAGCCUGCUAUCAGGCAGUAGUUGGCAUGCUAACAGGCAGUAUAUCUGUAGGAUUCAUACCCAGGACUCUAAUUUGCAUGUGAUCGGUGGAGUCUCUGGGUUAACCGGUUUAAAAUUCCUGGCGGUCUGUCGUUAGUAGUACAUCUGCACGCAAGGUUGAUUUUUAUUCAGAUGUUUGCAUGCUAAUAAAAAUUGAGGUACAAUUUUGACCUCAGUUAAUCAGA